rnacentral:rRNA from 1 species
ACACAUGCAAGUCGAGGGGCAGCGGGAGGAGUGCUUGCACUUCUUGCCGGCGACCGGCGCACGGGUGAGUAACACGUAUGCAACCUGCCUCCGUCAGGGGGACAACCCGGCGAAAGCCGGGCUAAUCCCGCGUAUAUUCCGUGAGGGCAUCCUUACGGAAGGAAAGGCUUCGGCCGGACGGGGAUGGGCAUGCGGCGCAUUAGGUAGUCGGGGGUGUAACGGACCACCGAGCCGACGAUGCGUAGGGGUUCUGAGAGGAAGGUCCCCCACACUGGUACUGAGACACGGACCAGACUCCUACGGGAGGCAGCAGUGAGGAAUAUUGGUCAAUGGUCGGAAGACUGAACCAGCCAAGCCGCGUGAAGGAAGAAGGUGCUCGGCAUCGUAAACUUCUUUUGUCAGGGAACAAAGGGCGGUACGUGUACCGCUGUGAGUGUACCUGAAGAAAAAGCAUCGGCUAACUCCGUGCCAGCAGCCGCGGUAAUACGGAGGAUGCGAGCGUUAUCCGGAUUUAUUGGGUUUAAAGGGUGCGCAGGCGGCGCGGUAAGUCAGCGGUAAAAGCCCGGGGCUCAACCCCGGCGAGCCGUUGAAACUGCCGUGCUAGAGUAAGGUCGAGGUAUGCGGAAUGCGCGGUGUAGCGGUGAAAUGCAUAGAUAUCGCGCAGAACUCCGAUUGCGAAGGCAGCAUACCGG